rnacentral:misc_RNA from 1 species
UCCCCAUUAACUGGGGCAGUUUUCUGUGAAAAAUUUAACACAGAAUAGGGGUUGCGCUCGUUAACCGACUGAACGGGACACUUCACAGCACGAGCUGACGACAACCGUGCAGCACCUGUCUUCUGGCUCCUUGCGGCACAGCCCUGUUUCCAAGGCCUUCCAGAGAUGUCAAAUCUUGGUAAGGUUCUUCGCUUGCUAUCGAAUUAAACCACACGCUCCUCCACUUGUGCAGGUCCCCGUCAAUUCCUUUGAGUUUUAAGCUUGCGCUCGUACUCCCCAGGCGGCACACUUAACGCGUUAGCUUCGGUCCAAAGAGGGGUCGAUACCUCCCAAGACCUAGUAAUCAUCGUUUAUGGCAUGGACUAC